rnacentral:rRNA from 1 species
GACGAACGCUGGCGGCGUGCCUAAUACAUGCAAGUAGGACGCAGUUGAGAACGGGUGAGUAAAGCGUAGGUAACUACCUAUUAGAGGGGGAUAACUAUUGGAAACGAUAGCUAAUACCGCAUACUAGUAGAUGGAACUGCGUUGUAUUAGCUAGUAGGUAGGGUAAUGGCCUACCUAGGCAACGAUACAUAGCCGACCCGGGAGGGGUAUCGGCCACAACGGGACCUGGGCACGGGCCAAGAUCCUAACGGAGGCAGCAGUAGGGAAUGUUCGGCAAUGGGGGGAAACCUGAACGAGCAACGCCGCGGGAGUGAAGAAGGUUUUCGGAUCGUAAAGCUCUGUUGUUAAGGAAGCGGUACUUAACCAGAAAGGGACGGCUAACUACGUGCCAGCAGCCGCGGUAAUUC